ACACUCUGGUUUCCCAUCAGAUCGUAUAAAUCUUCCACCUUUUACUGAAGAUUUCUAUGGGGAGGAACACUCAGAGUUUUAAGCAGUUUUUUGAUGCCCUACUUAGGUAGAGCU